UUAGCUAGUUGGUAGGGUAACGGCCUACCAAGGCCAUGACGGGUAGCGGGUGUGAGAGCACGACCCGCGUCAUUGGGANUGAGACACUGCCCAGACACCUACGGGUGGCUGCAGUCGAGAAUCUUCGGCAAUGGGCGCAAGCCUGACCGAGCGACGCCGCGUGUGGGAUGAAGGCCUUCGGGUUGUAAACCACUGUCAGAGGGGAUGAAAUGCAGGUGGGUUCUCCCAUCUGUUUGACAUAGCCUCAGAGGAAGGACGGGCUAAGUUCGUGCCAGCAGCCGCGGUAAGACGAACCGUCCGAACGUUAUUCGGAAUCACUGGGCUUAAAGGGUGCGUAGGCGGCGCGGAAAGUUGGGUGUGAAAUCCCUCGGCUCAACCGAGGAACUGCGCCCAAAACUACCGUGCUCGAGGGAGAUAGAGGUGAGCGGAACUUAGGGUAGAGCGGUGAAAUGCGUUGAUAUCCUAAGGAACACCGGUGGCGAAAGCGGCUCACUGGAUCUCUUCUGACGCUGAGGCACGAAAGCUAGGGUAGCGAACGGGAUUAGAUACCCCGGUAGUCCUAGCCGNAAACGAUGAGCACUGGAUUGGAGGGUCCUCCAUAGCCUUCCAGUCGCGACGAAAGCGUUAAGUGCUCCGCCUGGGGAGUAUGGUCGCAAGGCUGAAACUCAAAGGAAUUGACGGGGGCUCACACAANCGGUGGAGGAUGUGGCUUAAUUCGAGGCUACGCGAAGAACCUUAUCCUAGUCUUGACAUGCACGGAUUAACUCUCNGAAAAGAGAGCCA
rnacentral:rRNA from 1 species